GCCUACGGGGCGCAGCAGUGGGGAAUAUUGGGCAAUGGGCGCAAGCCUGACCCAGCAACGCCGCGUGAAGGAAGAAGGCUUUCGGGUUGUAAACUUCUUUUAAGAGGGAAGAGUAGAAGACGGUACCUCUUGAAUAAGCCACGGCUAACUACGUGCCAGCAGCCGCGGUAAUAAGUAGGUGGCAAGCGUUGUCCGGAUUUACUGGGUGUAAAGGGCGUGUAGCCGGGCCGGCAAGUCAGAUGUGAAAUCCCAAGGCUCAACCUUGAAACUGCAUUUGAAACUGU
rnacentral:rRNA from 1 species